GAAGAAGCGCCCGCGUCGUGUUUCCGCGGAGGAGCCGCGUCUCCAUGGAGACCUACGGGGCCUCGGAGGUAGGCGGAGCUAGAAGGCCGGAGGCGGCGCGGUCUCAGCAGUUAAGCAACUCUUCUACAGCAAGACUGGAUGGCUGCAGCAAACAGCAGAACUCCUUCCUGGUUGUCAUUCAGCUUACGUUUCUACACCAGAGUCAACAAACUGAGAUACUUUUCUGAAUGGCUAUCUUUCCAGUCUGUCAUGCUUUCCAGUUGCUGGCUAAGAGUCAGGAUCUCACCAUUUUUCCUGCUCACCUCAUGUGACACCUCUUCCAACUGAGCCUCACGGAGAUU